UACAGAGGGUGCAAGCGUUUGUUCGGAAUUACUGGGCGUAAAGCGCGCGUAGGCGGCUUUGUAAGUUAGAGGUGAAAGCCUGGAGCUCAACUUCAGAAUUGCCUUUAAGACUGCAUCGCUUGAAUCCGGGAGAGGUGAGUGGAAUUCCGAGUGUAGAGGUGAAAUUCGUAGAUAUUCGGAAGAACACCAGUGGCGAAGGCGGCUCACUGGACCGGCAUUGACGCUGAGGUGCGAAAGCGUGGGGAGCAAACAGG
rnacentral:rRNA from 1 species